UCAAGCUCCACACCUCAAAGCUAACAUAUUUCGCUUCCGGUGUUGCUCCUACGAUGAUUACGUUAAUCAAGUAAUUUCAACGGCGUUCCCUGACUUCCACUCCUCCAAUUUUGUCGAUGCCAAUUUAUUCAAGGAUGAAGAAAUAAGGGCUUAGUUUCUGGGAUGUGGCUGUUAAGGUGGUGCAAAUGGCAUGUUCUCUUUGCAAAACAAUACAAAGGGCUUAGUUCCGGGGAGUUUUGAUCAGGUUAAUAAGUCCAAGAAUGAUGAUUCUCAUAUUACUGUGGCGGGUAUUUUUAUUUACUUCGAAUGGCUAUGCUCAUAUUCUUGUAAUUUUUUCUCCUCUUAAAUAGUGUUUGUUUGUUCAUUUCUGAUUUUUUUUAUGAGUUGGGUCAAUUUUAUUGUUUAUGGUGAUUCUUUCUAUUUUAUACUUGUAUGAGCUUAGGCCAGUAAAUUAAAUAAUAAUGUGGGCUACAGGACCUUAUAUGUCAAGUUUGUUGACAAAGUCUUGAGCUGCAUUGUGGCUAUUGUUGUUUGGUUUUGGCAGGUGAUCAGAUGUGAUUUAAGUGGCAAGUCGGUGAAACCAGUGUAUAACUAGACCUAAAGAAAAAGAAUUUGUGCAGGAACGGCCAUUUGCUACUAAGUAUAUUUUCUAUUUAUCUUAUAUUCUUGCUUCUUCUGCCAACCAUACAAGCUGUUAAUAUUCAAAAGGAUCAAACUCAUGGUCUUCGACAGAAUGGGAUCUUUAAUCCUUAGAUUAUGGGUAUCCCUUGUAAAUCAUAGUAGGACUUGCUUGGUUUUGUUUAUAAGCUUAAUCUUUGUCUCUUUUUGGGGUAGAUUAUGAAUUGGUAAUAUACAAUGACCUCAAUUUUCAAUUGAGUGAAUUCUGUUCAAUUGAUUGCAUAAUUUGUUAUUUUUUACUUAAAGUAAUGCCUACUUUAGUGGCCGUAACUUCACUUAAUUUACAACCUUGUACAUUUUUGGAUAAACACUUGCCAUGAUCAUAGAAGUGAAUUUAAUAUUCGAGAAAAGGAUAUAGCAAAUUAAAUAUAGAGAUGAUGGUUCUACUUUUUGCUUUGGCAAACCUAGUGCGAAAAAAAUUGUGAGGUUUACCAAAUCAUUAGCUACUACUGAUACUGGAGCUGGAUAUCAGUGUAUAUAUAAACAUCAAGAGCAAACUUGAUCGGCUUAACUUGAUGUUAAUUUUCUAAUGUAAGUGAGUUUCUCGGUAGUUUUCAUCCUAACGAGGCAAGCCUUCGUCAUGGAUGUCUUUGUCUUGGGGGCAGGUUAAAGAUCUUUAGCUCUAGUAUGUCAACUUAUGUAUGCGAUUGGUUAAUACUUAAUAUAAUACUCCUAGGUUUGAAGCAAACGUUGAAUCCCAUUAGACAAUAUAUAUUAUACAAUGCUGAUGCCAGAGCCAUGUGAACUAGGUACAAGCAUUAGAAAGUCGAGCUUGCCAUCUUAUCUGAUACUGAUAAUUCCUGAGUUCAGAAUCGGCCCUAUGAAAGAUAAGGGACCUUUGUCAGUUUAUAUUUUAUAAGGAACUUUUUUGCAAUAGUUACAACUAACUAGCUGUAUUAAACUUGCAGCACCAUUAGACACUCCAAGCUUUUAUGUACUUGUGUGAGUUUUAGGAUACUGCUUUUUGUCUUUCAAUCAGUCUGACUAAAUUUGUUAUCGCAGUCAGAUUCGGAGACUCAGUUGCUGACAAUUAAGUUCAGAUGGAAUGUCGUGAUGAGGUCAGUGUCCAGCACACUGGUUGGAGUUAGCCUAGAAUUUGAAAUAGCUACAAAUUGUGUUUCUACAUGGGCAAUGAGAACAAUAUUGUGAGGAGUUUGGACCUUUCUCGGCGAACAUCAAGUGCUAUCGUGUCGGAAACAAUAUUGUAUCAGCUUUCCCUGUUGCUAAAAACUGAACUAUAUGUCAAAUGCUCUGAUGCUUCCAUUUCUUCAUCAUUGAUGGGAUUAUUUUGGCCGAGAAACAUUAGAUUUCCUUUCAAGUACUCAACUCGCAAGAACUUAUGUAGUAUUUUUGUUUUGCUAAUUAUAUGACUUUUGUUUAUUUGAUUACAAGUUAGUUAUUUUUGUU